rnacentral:tRNA from 1 species
UGGGCGAUCGAUCAAUGGUAGGUCCGGAGCCUUUGAAGCUCUUUAUCUAGGUUCGAAUCCUAGUCGCCCAACCA